GGGAAAGGGAGGAAGUUUCUCCGUUUCUGAUUAUGCGCAGAGUUUCCUUGUACUGAGCUUAUGUUCUCCACCCACUACUUAGUAAGAACUCCUUAACAACUUAAAGCUUUAUCCCUGUGAGUACCAGAAAAGUGAUUUGAGUAUUUAUUGAGCAGGGAGAACAAACUGCUUGCUCCAGGCAGGGAGACAGCUUAUGGAAAUAAUAUUAGACCUUCAGCAAAGUGCACAGCUGCAUCAUACAGAAGCUGAGACUCAAACUGACAGGCAAAUAAGCCAGAUCAAGGAAGGGGCCUCUGUGUGGCAGCUCUGAGCUACCAAGUGUUGGACAACUAGGCAAAAAGUGCAAUGGAACAGGGCAGAAAAUAGCACACUAACUUCAGGCAACUGUUGCUUUUUCAUGGUCUGUAGGGAUUUGACACUGCAUAUCUGGAAAAAUAAGUCACCAUUUAAACACUAAGUCUACAGCAUGAAUGGCCUGGAAAGCAACGUUUUCUGUCAAUAGCAGCUUCUGUCUGGUGUGAUGACCCAUUCUUGUGCUGACGCUACAUGUAGUACUGAGCAGUACUGGAAAGGGGAAGAGGUCUCUUGGAAUAAGGUGCCUGCCUGCCUUUCAGUUUUGCAGCGGAAUCAUUGAUCGUUCUUACCACCUCACAACCUACAGAUUUCUUUUACAAUACAUUCUCCUCAAGCCUGUGAAUUUUUCUUUUACUGACCAGAUCGGUCUGCAAUCAGUCUUGCAAUCAGGAAGUGAAAUCUUGGAUUAAAACCACCUAGUGAUUUCAAAUGUUAAUCUUAAGGGCUUCUCCUAGGCAUUUCAUAUUAAAAGAUGGGUAACAUGGGACAAAUGAUCAAGGAGUUAUAUUUGCAUCUUUCAUUUUUCACAUCUAGGCCCUCUUCUUCUGGAUCUUCCACAUGUCCACGUUAGUCAUUCUUCCGAGUUUCCUUACUCAUGCUUGAAAAUAUUUUUAUAUUUUGUUCAAAAUGUAAGACACAAUUAUUGACAAUAAAUAAAUCUGAUAAUAUAAUUGUAACA
rnacentral:lncRNA from 1 species